AAUGAUUUCUCAGGGAAAUAAUAACAAAAAUGGAAAAAAUGAGGGUGGCAAUAAUACCAACAAAGAUGGAUCUAAUCAUAAAGCUCAAAGUGGAGCUCUAAUAGAAAAUGCAAAAUCAAAGAUCCAUCAGUACAAAGUAAGAGCUUAUAUCCAAACGAAGUCCCUGAAAGCAUGCAAAAGGGAAAUCAAGUCAGUGAUGAGUACAGCUGGAAAUUCUGCACCCUCCCUGUUUCUUAAAAGUAACUUUGAAUACUUAAGGGGCAAUUACCAAAAAGCUGUAAAAUUAUUAAAUAGUUCAAACAUUGCUGAACAUCCAGGAUUUAUGAAAACAGGUGAAUGCUUGAGAUGUAUGUUUUGGAAUAAUCUUGGCUGCAUUCAUUUUUCCAUGAGCAAGCAUAAUUUGGGGAUAUUCUAAGAAGGCUUUGCAGGAGAAUGACAGUGUCUGUGCACAGCUCAGUGCAGGUAGCACUGAUCUAGGCAAAAAAUUCUCAGGAAAACCAAUGUAUACAUUACUAACCAACAAGAGGUACGAGUUGUUGUAUAACUGUGGGAUUCAGCUUCUUCACAUUGGAGAGCGUCUCGCUGCCUUUGAGUGUUUGAAGCUGUUCAGGUUUAUCAUGCAAAUCCCCAACUUUGGCUCAGGCUGGCUGAAUGCUGUAUUGCUGCCAAUAAGGGGAGUUCUGAACAAGAAACUAAAGGUCUUUCAAGCAAAAAGGGAAUUGUACAAUCUAUUGUUGGUCAAGGCUAUCAUCAUAAAAUUGUUCUGGCAUCACAGUCCAUAUAGAGUACUGUAUAAAAUGAUGGACAGUCUUCAGCCAUUCCUGUCACCAGCAUGGAGUUUGCAGCAAUUUGUCUGAGGAAUGCCUUGUUGCUCUUACCUGAAGAACAGCAAGACCCAAAGCAGGAAAAUGGGUCUAAAAACAGCAAUCAACUAGGGGGGACCACGGAAAGCAGCGAAAGCAGUGAAACUUGCAGCAGCAAAAGCCAUGAUGGUGACAAAUUCAUUCCAGCUCCACCUUCUUCUCCAUUAAGAAAAAAACCCAAAUAAAAGUUUAAAAAAAUAAAAAAGUUAGAAAACUUAAAGUACUCCAUACUUGCUUGCAGUGCUUUCGUGGCCCUGGCUUUGGGGGAUAACCUGAUGGCUUUGAACCAUGCAGAUAAACUUCUUCAGCAGCCCAAGCUGUCUGGGUCUCUUAAGUUUUGCGGCUAUUUAUAUGCUGCAGAAGCCCUCGUCUCUCUUGACAGAAUAUCUGAUGCUAUUACGCACUUGAACCCAGAGAAUGUUACUGAUAUCUCUGUAGGGAUCUCUUCAAAUGAGCAGGACCAAAGAUCAGACAAUGAAGCAAUGGAGUCCUCUGGAAAGCGGGCCCCACAGUGCUACCCCAGUUCUGUCAACUCUGCCCGGACUGGGAUGCUGUUCAACCUGGGCAGUGCAUACUGCCUGAGGAGCGAGUACGACAAAGCCCAGAAGUAUCUGCACCAGGCGCUUCCAUGAUUCAUCCUAAGGAGGUUCCCUCUGAGGCCAUCCUGCUGGCAGUCUAUCUGGAACUGCAGAAUGGUAAUUCUCCACUGGCCUUACAGAUCAUCAAAAGGAAUCAGCUCCUCCCCACAGUGAAGACACAUUCAGAAAUGAGAAAGAAGCCAGUGUUUCAGCCUGUGCACCCAAUCUAGCCCAUCCAAAUGCCGGCAUUCACUGCUGUGCAGAGGAAGUGACUGACUGCUUUGGAGAAAGCCACCUGACACAAAGGGCGGUGUUUACUGGUGUUUUCAGUUAUAUCACUGCAAAAUGAGUGGAUAACAGACUGAGGUAAAGGAUGUGAGUUUUGAAGACACAGUUUUAAGACUUUUACCCCUCUUCUUGCCAGGUUACUUAAAAUUAAGGAUUUACAAACUUGUUUCCAGCCAUUUUCUUUUAAACUCUGACAGACUUAAUUUUGAACCAUUAUUUGAUCUAUGUGUCAUAGACAAUUGAAAUAAG